UCGAGGAUCUUCGGCAAUGGGCGCAAGCCUGACCGAGCGACGCCGCGUGUGGGAUGAAGGCCUUCGGGUUGUAAACCACUGUCGUGGGGGAGGAAGUCCGUCAAAUCGGAUUGACCUAUCCCAGGAGGAAGCACGGGCUAAGUUCGUGCCAGCAGCCGCGGUAAGACGAACCGUGCAAACGUUACUCGGAUUCACUGGGCUUAAAGGGCGCGUAGGCUGUUCGUUAAGUCGUGGGUGAAAUCUUUCGGCUCAACCGGAAAAUUGCCUACGAUACUGGCGGGCUGGAGGGGGGUAGGGGCGGACGGGAACUGCCAGUGGAGCGGUGAAAUGCGUUGAUAUUGGCAGGAACGCCGGUGGCGAAAGCGCGUCGCUGGAUCUCUCCUGACGCUGAGGCGCGAAAGCUAGGGGAGCAAACGGGAUUAGAUACCCCGGUAGUCCUAGCCCUAAACGAUGGGUACUAGGUUGCGAGCUUGACAUGGGCCCGCAGCCGAAGCAAAAGUGCUAAGUACCCCGCCUGGGGAG
rnacentral:rRNA from 1 species